rnacentral:lncRNA from 1 species
AUGUUGUGCUACCAUCAGCAGUCCUUUCCUCCUCUCCACCAAGAGCGCAUCCCCAUUAAGUGCCCCCAAACGUACCCUAUGAUGCACAGCUGGCAAUCACCACUGUGCACCCCUCAGUACGUGAGUCCCUGCGUUCCCCGGCAGCGGUUUCUGUCCUCCAGCUUCUCCCAGCAGCAGUGUGUGACCCAGUGCAUACCGCGGCAGCAGUAUGCAACCAAGUGCGUGCAACAGCAUGUGACCCAGCACAUCCCACCUGCCAGGUGUGUGACAACCUGUGUGCCUCAGCAGUCGUGUGCCACCCAGGGCACGUCGCAAGAGCCUUGUGUGACCAAGUGCAUGCCCCAGCAGCAGUGUGCAAGCAAGUGCAUCCCACAACAGCAAUGUGCAACCAAGUGCAUCCCGCAGCAGCAGCAUGCAGCCCGGUGCGUGACCACAUGCAUGCCUCAGCAGCCAUUCCUGACCAAGGGAAUCCCCCAGCAGCACAGCGCGACCGUGUGCAUCCCGCAGCACUGUGUGACCACAUACACCCCGCACCAGCAGAGCACGACCAGGUGUGUGACCACGUGCAUACCCCAGCAGCAUGCCACCAGGUGUGUCUCGCAGCGCUAUGUGACCGCUUGUGCCCCGCAGCAGUGUGCCACCAAGUGCAUCCCGCAGCAGCAGUGUGCAACCAGGUGUGUGACCACGUGUGUGCCGCAGCCAUGUCAGACGAAGGGUGCAAGCAUUUGUGUCCCGCAGCAACAGCAGCAAUGUGUCACCAAGUGUGUCCCGCAGCAGCAAUGUGUCACCAAGGGCGUCCCGCAGCAUCAGUGUGCCACCAAGGGCAUCCCCCAACAGCAUCAGUGUGCCACCAAGGGCAUCCCGCAGCAUCAGUGUGCCGCCAAGGGUAUCCCUCAACAACAGCAAUGUGUCACCAAGUGCGUCCCACAACAGCAGCAGUGUGCUACCAAGUGUGUCCCACAGCAGUGUGCCACCAAGGGCUUCCCUCAACAACAGCAAUGUGUCACCAAGGGCGUCCCACAGCAGCAGCAAUGUGUCACCAAGGGCGUCCCGCAGCAGUGUGGCACCAAGUGCAUCCCACAACAGCAGCAGUGUGCCACUAAGGGCAUCUCGCAGCAAUGUGCCACCAAGUCUGUGCCGCAGCAGUGUGCCACCAAGGGCAUCCCUCAACAACAGCAGUGUGCCACCAAGUGUGUCCCACAGCAAUGUGCCACCAAGAGCAGUGCACAGCAGCAGCAGUGUGCCACCAAGUGUGUCCCACAGCAGUGUGCCACCAAGGGCAUCCCACAGCAAAGUGUGACCCAGUGUGUCCCACAGCAGCAGUAUCAGUCAGGUGGAGUAAAAAUUUCAAGUCAUGCUAAGAAGUACUGCUCUGCAUCCAAAUGGCCCUGGUAA